rnacentral:rRNA from 1 species
GAGUUUGAUCGUGGCUCAGAUUGAACGCUGGCGGCAUGCCUUACACAUGCAAGUCGAACGGCAGCACGGGAGCUUGCUCCUGGUGGCGAGUGGCGAACGGGUGAGUAAUGCAUCGGAACGUAUCCUGGAGUGGGGGAUAACGUAGCGAAAGUUACGCUAAUACCGCAUAUUCUGCGAGCAGGAAAGCGGGGGACCUUCGGGCCUCGCGCUCUUGGAGCGGCCGAUGUCGGAUUAGCUAGUUGGUGAGGUAAAGGCUCACCAAGGCGACGAUCCGUAGCAGGUCUGAGAGGAUGAUCUGCUACACUGGAACUGAGACACGGUCCAGACUCCUACGGGAGGCAGCAGUGGGGAAUUUUGGACAAUGGGGGCAACCCUGAUCCAGCCAUGCCGCGUGAGUGAAGAAGGCCU